GAAUCCCAGGGAUGGGGGAGCCUGGUGGGCUGCUGUCUAUGGGGUCGCACAGAGUCGGACACGACCGAAGCAACUUAGCAGCAGCAGAAUCCCUCACACCAGCCUGUUAUCAAUACUAGCAUGGGAUUGGACCAUACCUCUUUAUAUACUCUUUCAUGCUUCCUAAAGACUUUUUCAGUCUUUUUUCAUGACUAACCCUGAUGUCACCAAUCUUUUUAUCACCAUAAUAAGUUUUAAUCAUAUUUUUUGUAUCAUUACAGAUCAUUGAAAAGUUAUUGCCUCUGUGUCAAGAUGAUUUUCCUCCUCUCCUCUGAGUGAGGAUGAGUUCCACUUAAACUUCCUCACUUGCUCUUCACAAUGCCCUUUUUGUCCAUGAAUUAAAUCUCACAAUGCAUGUAAAAGCACGUAAAGAGGACCUAGUACAUAACAGGUCCUCGGUAACUGAUAGCAGCUGUUAUUAGUGGUAGCAUUUAUACCGGGGCGGUGGGGGGGCGUCAUCAGAGUCAGAAUUUAUCAAAAAUAUUUGGAGGCACCCUGCACUCCAAAUAUACUAAACCAAAGUCUCUUGGAGUGCAGGCCUGGAGGAGUGGUAAAGGCGGUUCCUCAGAUGAUUAUAAUGUGGAGAUGAUACUUGGGAAUUAACAGUUUAACUAGCCUACAAUCCCAAACACCUGUGUUCUUACCUCAGUUAGGGACAGAACCAAUCCAGAGGCUGUUGCUUGGGGAGAGAAGUGUAUUAAGCCCCAGGGAAAACCUGUCGUUAGCAAGACAUUUUAAAGUCAAGAGUAACAGCCUCUGUCCUGGGUUCAGCCAGCACAUGCUGCUCUUGUUCACUCUAACACUCGUGCCUUCCCCAGCCUACCUUCACUUACCUUCCUAGAUCUAACCUCUUGUUAGCCUAGACGUGAAUCAUCAACAAACAUCUACUACUAAGGUGUACUUCUUGUGAAUGGGCCAUCCUUGCUCCUGCUGGAAGACCGGUCACCGUCAGCUUUUACUUUAUCAGCAUCGACGAUCCCGGAGAAUGUGUCCAAAACUACCUCCUGCUCUAUGAUGGACCCGAUGCUAAUUCUCCAUCCUCCGGGUCCUAUUGUGUCACAAUGUUUUAAAAUUGGACCCAAAGCCCUAUAAUCUUGAAUCUCAAGACCUACUUGAAGGACUAUACAGGUGGUGAGUAGAAGGCUUGGCAGUGCCACUGGAUUCGUUACUUGGAUUAAAGAAAAAGGAAAGGCAUCAUCUGGCAUAAGGCUGAGUAGUCAUUCCAACAUGUGUUUUUUUCCAGCCACAACCACUUGGAUAUGGGCGGGAUAUUGCAAGACUUCCUUCACUGGCCCAGGACCCACACUUUCCCAUCUGUAGAUAUUUAUCAGGAUCAAGAAUUCUAGUAUCUCACCUGAAAUGAUAGAGUUGAAACUUGUAAGAGUCUAAAACUCUUCAUAGAUGUGAUAUGAAUCACCCUGAAAGCUUACAAGAAGUAAUUUGUUAAA